AGCGAACGCUGGCGGCAGGCCUAAAACAUGCAAGUCGAGCGCUCGUAGCAAUACGGGAGCGGCAGACGGGUGAGUAACACGUGGGAACGUCCCCUUGGGUUCGGACCAACCAGGGGAAACUUGGGCAAAUACCGGAUAAGUCCGCAGGGAGAAGGAUUUAGCGCCGAAGGAUGGGCCCGCGUCUGAUUAGCUUGUUGGUGAGGUAACGGCUCACCAAGGCGACGAUCAGUAGCUGGUCUGAGAGGAUGAUCAGCCACACUGGGACUGAGACACGGCCCAGACUCCUACGGGAGGCAGCAGUUAGGAAUCUUGGACAAUGGGCGCAAGCCUGAUCCAGCCAUGCCGCGUGAGUGAUGAAGGCCCUAGGGUUGUAAAGCUCUUUCAGCGGGGAAGAUAAUGACGGUACCCGCAGAAGAAGCCCCGGCUAACUUCGUGCCAGCCGCCGCAGUAA
rnacentral:rRNA from 1 species